rnacentral:rRNA from 1 species
GAGAGUGGCGCACGGGUGCGUAACGCGUGAGCAACCUACCUCUAUCAGGGGGAUAGCCUCUCGAAAGAGAGAUUAACACCGCAUAACAUCAACAGUUCGCAUGUUCGGUUGAUUAAAUAUUUAUAGGAUAGAGAUGGGCUCGCGUGACAUUAGCUAGUUGGUAGGGUAACGGCUUACCAAGGCGACGAUGUCUAGGGGCUCUGAGAGGAGAAUCCCCCACACUGGUACUGAGACACGGACCAGACUCCUACGGGAGGCAGCAGUAAGGAAUAUUGGUCAAUGGGCGGAAGCCUGAACCAGCCAUGCCGCGUGCAGGACGACUGCCCUAUGGGUUGUAAACUGCUUUUGUCCAGGAAUAAACCCAGAUACGUGUAUCUGGCUGAAUGUACUGGAAGAAUAAGGAUCGGCUAACUCCGUGCCAGCAGCCGCGGUAAUACGGAGGAUCCGAGCGUUAUCCGGAUUUAUUGGGUUUAAAGGGUGCGUAGGCGGCCAAUUAAGUCAGGGGUGAAAUACGGUGGCUCAACCAUCGCAGUGCCUUUGAUACUGAUUGGCUUGAAUCCAUUUGAAGUGGGCGGAAUAAGACAAGUAGCGGUUGAAAUGCCUACAUCUGUCCUUACAACUCCUAUUGCGAAGGCAGCUCACUAAGCUGGUA